CCUACUCAUAGAGAUUUGAAGGUGAUGAGGCUGUAUCCUUUGUGCAUCAGUAGAUGGCAGAGAGGAGAGAGGCCAUGUCUACUCUCAGUUUUCUUGACUUGUGAACAUCUGAAUGAUUAGUAGCUUAGCAUU